CACACGCAGCUCCGGGUUCGAGGCAGGAGCGACGGAUUCCGGGGAAACUCGCUGGUGGACUCAGAUUGUGAAGCUGUUGUUCAGGAAAUGUUGCUGGCCAGAGCCUCCGCUCUGUUGUUUACAAGAGGCUGAUUAUCUGGAGCGCAUCCCCACAGCAUGAUGCUGCCUCCGCCGUGCUUCACCACAGGGAUGCUGCUGGCCUGCUGGUGAAUGCUUCCCGGCUUCCUCCAGACAUUAUUCACACCAGAGAGUUCGGACCAGGAGUCUGCAGCCGGCGUCUCUGGAGCCUCUUCAGCCCCUGGAGCGCGGCGCCUGCAGCUUCCACAAAACUGCAUAUUAACCAGCUUUUGUUGGGGCAGUGACAAAAAAAGGGAGCAGUGGUUGGUGUUG